rnacentral:rRNA from 1 species
GGCAGAUCCAUUCUCUGCCACCGAAUACAUUAGCAUGGGAUAAUGGAAUAGGACCCUGUCCUCCUAUUUUCAGUUGGUUUUGGCAGCGCGAGGACUAGGGUAAUGAUUAAUAGGGAUAGUUGGGGGCAUUAAUAUUUAAUUGUCAGAGGUGAAAUUCUUGGAUUUAUGAAAGAUUAACUUCUGCGAAAGCAUCUGCCAAGGAUGUUUUCAUUAAUCAAGAACGAAAGUUAGGGGAUCGAAGACGAUCAGAUACCGUCGUAGUCUUAACCAUAAACGAUGCCGACCAGCGAUUAGGAGACGUUGAAUACAAAACACCACCAUCGGCGCGGUCGUCCUUGGCUGGUCGUCCCUCACGGGGCGGCCGGCGGGGGCGGCUUAGCCCGAUGGCACCGGUGAAUGACUCCCUAG